AUGAGAUUGGUAUACUUCCCCGUGGUCUCCACCACUACACCAUCGCCGCGCUGCUUCCCGGUCCUCUCAGCUUCAAAGAGUUCGUGCUCCAUUUGUUCCACUCCGAGACGUCGAGCUAGACCUCCACCGUGCUGCCCGUGGCGGAGCCCCAGGUGGAGUUCGAUUGGGUCAUCCCCACCAACACGGAUCUUUAUUACCACUAUACCUCCAACAUCAUCACGAUCGGCGGCGAGCACGGCACCAUGGGCUGGGUCGAUCUCUGGCGAGGCAUCCUGUUGUGCGAUGUGCUGCGUGAGAAACCAACUCUCCGCGGAAUACCGUUGCCGCUGCCCAUGGAACAUAUCACCCGCGGCAAACAUUUAG
rnacentral:rRNA from 1 species